UGCGGCAACAUAAUCUGGAUGGUAGAAUCCAACCAUUUCAACCAUACAAUUCUAUGUUAAAUUACAAGCGAGAGAUUGUCACUGUACAUAUUUAAAAAAAUAUAUAUAUUAUUUUUACCUGUUUUUUUGUUCUGAGUGGGUGGAGUAACAGUUGUAGUUUGUGAACUGUGAUGAAUCCACUUUAUUAUACUUAAACAUGUUUAUUAUUUUCUAU
rnacentral:lncRNA from 1 species